rnacentral:tRNA from 2 species
ACUCGUUGGUCAAGCGGUUAAGACACCGCCCUUUCACGGCGGUAACACGGGUUCGAAUCCCGUACGGGUCA